rnacentral:rRNA from 1 species
UACAGGGGGGGCAAGCGUUGUUCGGAAUUACUGGGCGUAAAGGGCCAGUAGGCGGCCAACUAAGUCACACGUGAAAUCCCCAGGCUUAACCUGGGAACUGCGUGUGAUACUGGAUGGCUUGAAUUCGGGAGAGGGAUGCAGAAUUCCAGGUGUAGCGGUGAAAUGCGUAGAUAUCUGGAGGAAUACCGGUGGCGAAGGCGGCAUCCUGGACCGACAUUGACGCUGAGGAGCGAAAGCCAGGGGAGCAAACGGG